GAGAUUAGGUCACCCGAAGAGUCCCAAUCAACUUGGACUCUUCCAAAUUGAUAUCAUAAUCAUUUUUGUUUAAUUUUUAUCAAGCUCAUAAGUCAAGAUUGAUGUCUAACAACAUAUUAUGACUACUUAAAAGAUUUAAAAUUUUGAUAAAAAAAUUAUCAAAAUAUUCUUCAGUGGUAAGUUUCCGUAUAAUCCAAUCCUUCAGUCAAACAAUAUCCCAGAUGAGCUGUGGGUAUGAAAAUAUAUCAAACUCAAUU
rnacentral:lncRNA from 1 species